rnacentral:rRNA from 1 species
GAUGAACGCUAGCGGCAGGCCUAAUACAUGCAAGUCGAACGGUGUAGCAAUACACAGUGGCGCACGGGUGCGUAACACGUAUGCAACCUACCUUACAUUGGGGGAUAGCCUUUCGAAAGGGAGAUUAAUACCGCAUAAGACAGUAACUAGGCAUCUAGUAGCUGUUAAAGAUUUAUCGAUGUAAGCUGGGCAUGCGUCCAAUUAGUUAGUUGGCGAGGUAAUGGCUCACCAAGACGAUGAUUGGUAGGGGAACUGAGAGGUCAAUCCCCCACACUGGCACUGAGAUACGGGCCAGACUCCUACGGGAGGCAGCAGUAGGGAAUAUUGGGCAAUGGGCGCAAGCCUGACCCAGCCAUGCCGCGUGCAGGAAGAAGGCGUUAUGCGUUGUAAACUGCUUUUAUACAGGAAGAAACGACCCUUGCGAGGGGCAUUGACGGUACUGUAUGAAUAAGCACCGGCUAACUCCGUGCCAGCCGCCGCAGUAAAAC